GGGCCUAANCAUGCAGUCGAGCGGAUGAAGAGAGCUUGCUCUCUGAUUUAGCGGCGGACGGGUGANUAAUGCCUAGGAAUCUGCCUGGUAGUGGGGGAUAACGUUCCGAAAGGAACGCUAAUACCGCAUACGUCCUACGGGAGAAAGCAGGGGACCUUCGGGCCUUGCGCUAUCAGAUGAGCCUAGGUCGGAUUAGCUAGUUGGUGAGGUAAUGGCUCACCAAGGCGACGAUCCGUAACUGGUCUGAGAGGAUGAUCAGUCACACUGGAACUGAGACACGGUCCAGACUCCUACGGGAGGCAGCAGUGGGGAAUAUUGGACAAUGGGCGAAAGCCUGAUCCAGCCAUGCCGCGUGUGUGAAGAAGGUCUUCGGAUUGUAAAGCACUUUAAGUUGGGAGGAAGGGCAUUAACCUAAUACGUUAGUGUUUUGACGUUACCAACAGAAUAAGCACCGGCUAACUUCGUGCCAGCAGCCGCGGUAAUACGAAGGGUGCAAGCGUUAAUCGGAAUUACUGGGCGUAAAGCGCGCGUAGGUGGUUCGUUAAGUUGGAUGUGAAAGCCCCGGGCUCAACCUGGGAACUGCAUCCAAAACUGGCGAGCUAGAGUACGGUAGAGGGUAGUGGAANUUUCCUGUGUAGCGGUGAAUGCGUAGAUAUAGGAGGGAACACCAGUGGNGAANGCGACUACCUGGACUGAUACUGACACUGAGGUGCGAAAGCGUGGGGANGCAAANAAGAUUAGAUACCCCUGGUAGUCACGCCGUAAACGAUGUCAACUAGCCGUUNGAAUCUUGANAUUUUANUGGCGCANCUAACGCAAUAANUUNACCGCCUGGGGGAGNGNGCCGCCAGUUUAAAACUNAAA
rnacentral:rRNA from 1 species